rnacentral:rRNA from 1 species
UACGAAGGGGGCUAGCGUUGUUCGGAAUUACUGGGCGUAAAGCGUAUGCAGGCGGAUCGUUAAGUCGGGGGUGAAAUCCCGAGGCUCAACCUCGGAACUGCCUUCGAUACUGGCGACCUUCGAGUCCGGGAGAGGUGAGUGGAACUCCGAGUGUAGAGGUGAAAUUCGUAGAUAUCGAGAGGAACACCGGUGGCGAAGGCGGCUUCCUGGACAGUGACUGACGCUGAGACGCGAAAGCGUGGGGAGCAAACAGG